AACAGGCGCUUCCUCACCCGCGCGGGUUCCGGCCCGGGCGCCGCGCACGUGACCCUGCCCGUCGGCGCCUCGCCGGCCUCUUAAAGGCAAUACAGGAAAAUGUCUGGUGGUGCCGGAAAACUCUUCACUGCUACAGACCCUUCCCAGCCUGAUCCAUCUUGUGUGGUCUUCUCCCCAGGCUGCCAGAGCUUUUGUUUUGUUUGUUACAAUGUUAUCCAGGAGCUGGAGUCCCACUCCCUAUUGAAUUUAGGUAGAGGUGGGCAUAGAACAAAAAACAUCCUGUACAUACAGGCAUUUGGAAACAGCUUAGUUUAAAGAACAUCUUUAGCAUAUAUUGAAAAUUAAUGGUGCAUGUAAGUAAUUUUAUAAAGUAUUGGAAAAUUAAUUUUCUUGUCUUUUUCUCUGUCUUCAUCUACCCUUUUUCUGAAAAGAAUGGUUAACUUUUCAAAUGUCUAUACAAAAUUCAUUUCUUUUCCAGGCUUUAUAUGGCUUUGUAUGUAAACAGUUUAUGAUUUUUCUUUUAAAAAUGUUAAUGGGAUCGGAGCUGUCUGAUGUACUUGCUGGGGCGAGAGUGUUUAAGUAAAUGUAAGAUAAUACAGAGGAUAUGAAUGGAACGGCUCUAUUUGAUUUGGCAAUAGAUCCUAGUUGCUCUUAAUGUUUUCCCCAUGGCAGUUAUGUAAAAUAGGCUUACUAUCCUUUCUUGACUACAGAUCCUGCUUUUGAAAUGCUAUGCUUUGUGAAUGGCCUAUAGCUUCCAACAUAAUAGUGCUGGCCUGACCGAUUCUUGUAUGUAGCAGCCGGUGUCAUUGACAGAAUUGUGUUAGUAAUUCAGGUCGCUGCUGCAGGUACUAGGCAAGAGAAGAGUUUAAAUAGCUUUUCAGCAUUUUAAUAAAUACAAAAACUCUUCUGAAUUACUUUCUUCUUGAUUUUCCCAUGAGCACAAUGUCAUAUAUUUUCAAGGGCAUAUCAAACAUGCACAGAAAUGAAGUGCAAUGAUGGAUUGGUUCAUAGGUCUGAUAUUGAAAGAUUUCCUUUGAAGGAACAUGUUUAAAAGUAUGCAUUUAAGUAAACACAGGCAAUCAAAACCUUCUCUUAAUACUGCCAUAUGUACCUGCAGCCAAGGGUCCUGAUUAUACGUCUUUCAAAUUCAUUAUGCUGCGCUGCUUUCCUCUCAUUUCAUUAGAUACUAAACGUACACAGGAAAAGAAGCUACUUUAUCCUCUGUGUAGAAAGUAUUGUUUUGUGUUCACAUCUGUUAGCAUAAUUUUUACAAAGGAUUGCUUUUCAGAUUAAUAAUAUAUAAUAAUAAUGUUUCGCGGCAUUUGGAAGAAACAGAUCUUUUUCUCCAGUGUUAAACCAGUGUAACUACUGGGCUGUGAUGACAUAAGACUUAAAAAGAAGUAGGGUAUUUUAAUGCAAGAAGGAGUCUGAAAACAAGCUCAUAAAAUUUUGGGUGAAAAAAUGCUAGUAUAAGUGUUAAUAUAUUUAAAGUGUUAAUACUUUCUCUAAUAAAGACAUUAAAAAUUACUAGCAUACAUUUUCUAAAAUCUCAGUGGUACAUAACUAUUGAAUACACUAGAAAAAUUACCAGUAUAAAAUGCUCAAGAAUAUGGGCAAGAAAUGUAUAGAACUUCAUAAGUCUGAAAUUUCAGAGGGAUUUUUAAGCAUAGAGUGUGAUUGGUUACCUAGUGGUAUUGUGAUUACCCAACUGGACCUUACGCAGAAUGCAUGAAUAGUAUCACUGGUUUUGUCAAAGUAUCCUGUGGUCUUAUUAUGAUAACAAAAGUUCAGUAUCUUAGCUUUGGCUCAUUCAAAGGAGUGCACUGCUCACUACAACUGCAUUUCAACAUUUGCUUAACAGUUAUUGUACACUUAAGUCCAUCUCUUUUAAGUAACAUAAUUGAUCCUAUUAUAAUAAAUAGGACUUAAGCACAGACUUAAAAUGAAAUUUGCUGAACAGCUUUGCUUUCAUCCUCCAUUCUGUCAGUUUUCUUCACAGAUGCCUGUAGAAAUCAGAGAGAAUUCUGUAGCUGUACAGAGCUGUCAGUGAAGGACAGUCUGCAGAAUCAGUAUCUAACAGGAGGGAAAAUUGUUUCAAGACUGAUUUAGUAACGUUGUAAUCAAAUCACAGGCUUAAUGUCAUCAAGCUCAAUGCUUUUCUUGAAGCUUUCUGAAACAAAAUCUUUGGAUGCAUGCUCACAUUCAAACAGACCUAAAAAAUUAGAUGCAGGAUUUGUGUCAUGCAGAAAACACAGAUGGGAGGGAUCAAGCUCACUAGCUUGUUUAUUUCUUCAUUGUAACUAAGGAAAAGUUUCUGGGAGGAAAGAAUAAGCCUUCUCUAAGUGUCAGAAAAAAGAAAGGUCUCGCUGCCAAGUGUUUUGUAUUAUUUUGAGUUUUUGCAUAUUUAUUUAUUAAUAACCCUGUACUGAAAAAGGAAUGUUGAUGCUGAAUUUGAAUAUCUGUCCUUCUUUGGAUUCUACUUACUGUUGACUUUGCCCACCAAUUAAAUGUCUCAUCCAAAUACUGUUCAAAAAUAA